rnacentral:rRNA from 1 species
GAUGAACGCUGGCGGCGUGCCUAAUACAUGCAAGUCGAACGCUGGAGAUCUAGCUUGCUAGAUCGAAGGAGUGGCGAACGGGUGAGUAAUACAUAAGCAACCUACCCACGAAGACUGGGAUAAUCUCUGGAAACGGGGACUAAUACCGGAUAGGUAAUCGGAAGGCAUCUUCUGGUUAUUAAAGGUUAAAAACACUGGUGGAUGGGCUUAUGGCGCAUUAGUUAGUUGGUGAGGUAACGGCCCACCAAGACGAUGAUGCGUAGCCGGACUGAGAGGGUGAACGGCCACAUUGGGACUGAGACACGGCCCAGACUCCUACGGGAGGCAGCAGUAGGGAAUUUUCGGCAAUGGGGGCAACCCUGACCGAGCAACGCCGCGUGAGUGAAGACGGCCUUCGGGUUGUAAAGCUCUGUUGUAAGGGAAGAACGGUAGAUAGAGAAUAUCUAAGUGACGGUACCUUACCAGAAAGCCACGGCUAACCACGUG